rnacentral:snRNA from 1 species
GGAUGUAAGGCUAAUCUGACUAUGAUAUCUGUCAUCUUGCUGAUAGCCAGAGUUGAUCACUGAUCUGACUAAGUGGAUCUCCUCUUCCUCCCUCACCACUCCCAUGUGCAUCCCAUCCCUCCCAAAGCUUCAAGCUCAGUCACAGUGGACAACAUUCUGAUAGAGGAAGACCACUCUUCAGUCAGGGAACACAAGUAGUUGCAUUCCUCUGUUAGAACCUCCAAACAAGCACUCAAUAUCCAGGGCAGCAUUACAAAAUGUGGAAGUGACCCAAGUGUCCAU